UGCUGGUGGUGCGUCUACUUCAGCCUUGCCUGCGUGUGGCCACGAACUUUCUCGCUGAGGACCCCAGCCCAUGGGGCGACCUGUUUUGCACCUUUUUUGUUGCUGCAGACCUACCUGAUGGUCACUGGGCUGUGCUGCUGGGCACGACCCUGCCUGAUAUAUUGCUGGGAGGGUGAAUUGCAGCAGAGCUCACGCUAACCCUAGCUGCUCUGUCUCCUAGCCUGAUGGUUUUUCUUUCCACAGUUCCACUUGUGGUGGCACCAAGUCCCUUGGAGCUAGGAUUCACCUCCUGGCAUCACUGGAGACCUGAGGUGACGGAGCCCAGCCGAAGCUGGCACUGCAGCGUGGUCUCCCCUUGUGCUGGAGGACCUGGAGGAGAGGGGAGGGAGAUGCUGACGGGCUCCUUGCCCAGGGACAAAAAUCUUCCAGGCUUCCCCGUCCUGGGGUGGAAGCGGAGUGUGAUCCCUGCCCUUGCUGUGGAAGGAGAAGAUCUGCCCCAAGGUGCCAUCCCUCCCUCCAUCCCAGCAUUCAUUUUUUGUCCACGACUCCAACAGCCCAGCUCUUCAUCAUCCUUCCGCUCCAUCACCGAGCCCUUGUUUGUCUGCCCGCUCCUCUCUGAUUUUAGGCUUUAA
rnacentral:lncRNA from 1 species